rnacentral:lncRNA from 1 species
AUCUAGAUUCUAAACAUAAUUCCCUCCCUCCCUCACCAAUAGACGCCUUCACUCUAGAACCCUCUUCUCGUAAAUCAGUUCCUCUCAUUCUCUGGACCAGGUUUCCCUGCCUCCGCCGCCCUAGUUUCAUGCCUCACUUCCUUCACAAACCCUAAUUAGGGCUCCAGUUGGAUAGUUCCACGCCUCACCGCUUCUGCUCAGGUAAGCAGUUUGUGUAAUUUUAUUUCUUUUGGUGUAUCACAAUUAGUUUGAACAAUUGCUUUCUAAACAAUAAGCAUGUGAUGUCUUUUUGACUAGAACAACGAGCACAUGGUUUCAUUCAGUGUUUGAUAUUCUUGGUGUUUAAUACAGAGUAAAGACUUAUUGGGUUUGUUUAUUUAUUUAUUUUUAUUUUUAUAAUGACUCGUUUGGAUUGUGUAUUUUUUUGCCUUGUUUUAACUAAGGUUGAUUGAUAAAUACUACUCCUUUUCCAUGUAGGAUAUAUUAGUUUGGCCAAUAUUUUAAUUAACAUUGUGACUGUUGAUCAAAUCUGAAAAGUGUUUUUAUAAUUUGGACAAACUAAAAAAUGGUUGAGAAAUUCAUUAUAGAUUAAAGACUAGUAGUGUCUUAACUAUCUCAGAUGGACGGAAAAAAGGUAACUUUAGAUUAAAAAUUACAAAAAUUGAGUAAAAGUCCAAUUCUGGAAUGAGGCCUCAGGGUUAUUUGCUUGAUUUUUAUUGGGUUAUUAACAUAUGAUCUUUUGUUUGCAUCUUUUGAAAUUUAUUCAUUAGUUUAUUACUUUUAAUGGCAUGUUUUAGAUCAGUUGUUUAAAGGACAUUAAAAUUCAAAGGAUCAUUGGACUAUGCACAUCCAUAGAGGUCACUUUUUGAAUCAUACCUGAAUAACAUUGAUUAUCUGAUGAGGUAGCCGUGGCAAAAUGAGUGGAUAAAGCGGGUUGGGUAACGAGUCAAACCUCAUUUGAGUUAAAAUGCAUAAUAUUUUGGAAGAGUAGUGUAAUUAUGUUAAAUAAAUGAUUUAGGAGGUUUUAUGUUUUAAAGCUAUUUUUUUUACUUAUUAGUGAUUGAACAUAACUUGAAUGACUCGAUCAUUAAGUAAAUGGGUUUUAGUUGACACCGCCGAAUAUUUGCGCGAGUGCACAGAUGCAAACAAUAUGUUUAAAUUCAACUUCUAUUUUUUUUAUUUUUGAUUGACUUGCUGACUAUUGCUUGCAUUUAUACAAUCAAGGCUUUGAAAUCUAACAGUUGUUAGUUCAGUAUGAUUUGCAUAGCGUUUUGUAGGAUACAUUCGCCAUUGCAUAUACUAUACUUGCAUCUGUUUAUGUACAUCUGACAUGCGCUGCGUUUAGUUACGACUGGAUUUCCUAUUUCAUAUGUAUGUUUAGAGAUGCAAACGAGCCCAAGGUUGACUAGGCUCAAGCUCCAGCUUGUUAAAAUUAUGAAACCUUGGGCUCGACUUGGUUUGAGCUUUACUUCUAAAGCUCGAGCUCAGUUUGUUUAAUAUUUAUAAAUUAAUCUAGAGUAAAUUACGAUUUUGGCCAGUGUGGUUAUAUCACUUUUACCCUUUUAGCCAAAAAAGGAAUAUUUUAACAUCUGAGCCCCAACGUCUUUUUUUCUAACCGUUUUGCCACCCAACGUCUUUUUUAACCCUUUUAGCCCCUAAAAAUAAAUGGAUCGGGUUAGUGUUAAGGGUUAGAAAAAAAGACAUUUGGGGCUUAGAUAUUGUUGCAGUGGUUGUGUUUGUUGUUUUACCUGCAUGUCACGGGUUUGAUCCUAUUUACUUCAGUGAGGCUGGUUCAUUGGUAUAUCCAUUUGUCCUGCAAGAACAUAAUGUUAUACUGGUUUGAUAAGUAACAAAAAAGAACUGAAAGUAAUAUGCUUCACCUCAUAUAACUAUUUUUAAGUGAUUUUUUUUUUAUAAUUAAUUAAGCAGUUAACGUGUGUAGUUUAAUUUGCUCAAUUGUUUUAAUAUCUUUUUUCUAGACAUAUAGAAACAAGCUAUAAAAGAAGUUGAUGAAGCCAUUGCUCAAGGGAAAGGUAAAAUACCUAUCAAAUUUCUCUUUUUAUAAUGGGUCAAGCAUGUCAAAUGUGUAUCAAUUAUGUGAUACAGUCUGCUAUAAUAAAACGGACCGUAGAAAAGAAGUUGAUGAAGCCAUUGCUACACAUAGGGGAGAGAUGAAAUUUUAAACUUUUAAAAGUCUGUAUAUAAAGUAGUCUUUAAUUUUUUUGUGUCAAAAGUAGUCCAUAAUCUUAUUUGUGUUGACUGCCCAGUUAAAAGAAGUGGUUAUUUUGGUCAGCAUCUUUGUGGUAGGUCAACAAUGAUACCCCUUUUAUAAUAUACUUCAUAUGAUUAAUUGAUUAUUGCAUUUUCAAUUUGUAGAUAAUCAAUAAACUAUUCGGAUAGACUGGAAGUGAUUCUGAUCAUGUGAUUAAGCCACAUGCUGAGUUUCUAUGGUAAUAAUGUCUAUAAAAUGUUAAGCGCCCUAUAAGGAUUACCUACUUAAUUAGGAUGUUAAACAUUCGUGUACAACUCGAUUGACAAAAAGAUUAUUUUCCGCAACGCACGACAAGGAUUAAACUAGUUUUUUUCUUAAAUAAAGGGAUUAUAAAGAUUGUAUGCUAAGCCUUUUUUGUGUUUUGACCAUUUUCGCAGCCAAAGCAUGUUAUGACUUUCUUUCUUGCAGAACUGGGUACAAGUGGAUCCCUUGACAGGCAACAAAGACUGGUAGUGAAGGGUAGAUUUGCACCGAAAACUUUGAAGGGAUUCUCAUGCGACAUGUCAGUAAGUUACAUGUUACUUCUCCAUGAUUGAUAUCCACACUUAGAAGCAAAGUUUGCCCAAAAUUUAGUUUUUUACUUACUGAUAUCAUUUUAAUUUUUAUCAUGUUAUGUUUGAAAAUGGCUAUUGGAGCAUGAUGAUAUGGUUUAAUAUGCGGUAAACAUUCUUGCUAUUCUUGUUCAUAUGUUUCCAUUCACAGAUGAGUAUGUUAUCUGCAGUGGUUGCAAGAGCCUGGAUAAAACGCCUGGAUACAAUUCUUUUAAAGGAGAGUUGUCUUUUCUUCCUCAGAUAUCAUGAGAAGCUUUGGAGCUAAAUUUAAAGAUAGUGAAAUUCUAGCCCAAAAGAACGUUUAGGUUCUCCGUGUAAACAUUUAGAAGUUGGAAUAUCUUACUUAUUACAUAAUGUCUUGCUAACAUUCGGAAUAUGUUUUGGAUCCAACUUAUUAUUGAAGUUAUAAUAUUAUGAUUUCUACAU